rfam:Octopus bimaculoides Scaffold23281_contig_12, whole genome shotgun sequence.
GUAGAUAUUAUUAUCGGUUGUACAUAUACUAAAAUAUGAAUUAUGUAGAGAAUAUCAUCUCCCCUGCGCAAGCGUGGCACACCAAUUCGUAAAGCGUUUCAUAUUUUU